ACAAAGCACAGCAGCGGGGCACAGGGAACCUGCAAGCCCCCUGGUUCCACAGCCCACUGACCUCCCACACCCACAGAACCCUGGACUCUGGAGGGGACUAGGAGGCCAUUAGUGCAGUCCUCUCUUCACAGCUGAGGAAACGGAAUCCCAGAAGCACAACGUAAUCAGCCUAAGGCCACACCACUGUCCGUGACCGAGCAGGGCUGGAACCCAGGAGUCCUGGUUCCCAGCUCAGUGUCCUUCGCACCCACUGUGCUGCCUUGUCCAUGCCGCACUUGGUUAAGUCACUGCUUUUUUCCUCAAAAAAUAACAAUCUUCCUGUACUGUCCCGUUGACUCAUAUGCUCCGGAGGAGAUGAUACUCUAAGAAACAAAAAAAGGACCUGAGAGAAGAAACAUGACCCCUGGGGGCCUCCAGCCAGUCAAGCCGUGGGAGCCUCGGGCACCCUUCACAGCCCUUUAUCCUGCCACUCGACAGCCCACGCGGAGGGGAAGUGCGCCUGGGGAGGUCUCCCUCUUACAGACGGAAAACUAAGGUCUCCUGCGUGUCUCCAAGCACUCAUGCCAAGCGGCAAGACUGGGAGGCCCGACCGCUCCUCAGAACCAUCACCUCCUCAGGGAACUCUUGGGACUGGAAACUCAGGGGCAGGAGGCCAGGCCACACGGAGGAGGCUGCUGUCUACAGAAACCGUGGAGGCCACAGAAGCAAGCGAAAGUGAACUGGGGCAUGCCCGGGGCCAGGCCGGGGGCUGCUCACCAGAGAUCUGCAGGGGAAGGCAGAGGAGGAAGGGGGCGGGAGAGAGACAGGAGAGAGAAGCAAGCUGGGGCUCACCCCGGGGUCCCCCGAGGCUGCAGAGCCCCGCGGGGCGCCUCCCGGCGCUGAGGGUGGGGCCGCGUCGCUGCCGGCGGUCUCUGACAGCUCCUCGCAUCCUGGUCUCUGUGGGGCUGAGUCCGGCCUCGGACUGGAGCUGGGCGAGCCCAGGGAGAGGGGGCCCUGGCUGCAGCUGCCUUGUCCCUGCCCUGCCCUCGGCUUCCCUGUCCCCGCACACCUGCGGCUGGGGGCAGGCAGCAUGCCAGCUCAAAGUGAGCUCUGCGCGGUGCCACCAUGGGCAUCAGGCGUCCACUGGGUCCUCAGGACCACACCGUCCCGCGAACCAAGGGCGGACUUCGGGGGCCUUGAGGGCAGCCCCUCAGCCAGCACCACCCGACACCUGGCAGAGUCUCGGAUUCCUCGCGCCCCCUCAUAGCCCUGAUUUGUCUGAGGCCCCUUGGGAAACCUACAGGGAACAAGAGGCACUUCCCCUGACCAGCCCAAGUCCACACCCUCCUCAGCAGAGAGCAGACAGAGUUAUUUCAGCGCCCUGGGCUAUUUUAUUGAGCACUAGGCAGGGCAGAGGGGUGGGGGGUAAGAACAUGGCUUCUUCCCUGGUGUAA
rnacentral:lncRNA from 1 species